ensembl:snRNA U6 U6 spliceosomal RNA
GUGCUCGCUUCGGCAGCACAUAUACUAAAAUUGGAACGAUAGAGAAGAUUAGCAUGGCCCCUAUGUAAGGAUGACACGCAAAUUCGUGAAGCAUUCCAUAUUUUA